rnacentral:lncRNA from 1 species
UGUUUUCUUUCUUUUGUUUCUAAUGUUUAAAUUCAUUUCCUUUCGUUUUGUUGUAAAUAUGAGUAGCUAAACCCCUCUUGGCUAGGGGUGAUUUCAAAGCCAUGAUUAUGUGUGCAAUAUAAUUUGAUAAAUUCCAGUUAUGAACUCUUGAAUCGUGAAUGUAAUUGGCUUAACUAUUUGAUUGAUAACUUAUUUGUAUUUGUUAAUUAAGGGUCGACACUUAAUUGGCAUGCAUAAAUCCAUUGCUAGAAUAUAAAGAAGUUUCACAUAAUCGUUACAAACUUACAUUCACAUGUAGUGAAGUUCACUUAUAAACGAUCGCGUUAAGUUCAAUUCCUAGCAUGAGUGACAUGCUGUCAUAGUUGCAAGUGCUUUGACAAUGCUUAUGAUUUUCAGUAAACGUAAUGAUCUUUGAUUGUAUCUCUAUUAUGAUGUCAUGUAGGGAACUUUAGAAGAAUGUUUUGGGUU